rnacentral:rRNA from 1 species
CCUACGGGUGGCAGCAGUGAGGAAUAUUGGUCAAUGGCCGGAAGGCUGAACCAGCCAAGUCGCGUGAGGGACGACUGCCCUAUGGGUUGUAAACCUCUUUUAUAAGGGAAGAAUAUAUGCUACGUGUAGCAUGAUGCCUGUACCUUAUGAAUAAGCAUCGGCUAACUCCGUGCCAGCAGCCGCGGUAAUACGGAGGAGGCGAGCGUGAUCCGGAUUUAUUGGGUUAAAGGGGUGCGUAGGCGGUUUUUUAAGUUAGUGGUAAAACGUCGGGGCUACACCUUGACUUGCCAUUAAUACUGUAAGACUCGAGUUCAGACGAGGUAGGCGGAAUUAGCGGAGUAGCGGUGAAAUGCUUAGAGAUAACGUAGAACUCCGAUAGCGAAGGCAGCUUACCAGACUGCGACUGACGCUGAGGCACGAGAGCGUGGGUAGCGAACAGGAUUAGAUACCCCAGUAGUC